AUACGGAGGGGGCAAGCGUUGUUCGGAAUUACUGGGCGUAAAGAGCAUGUCGGCGGAUAGAUUAGUCAGAGGUGAAAGCCCCGAGCUCAACUCGGGAACUGCCUUUGAUACUGUUUAUCUAGAGACCGAGAGAGGUGAGUGGAAUUCUCAGUGUAGAGGUGAAAUUCGUAGAUAUUGGGAAGAACACCAGUGGCGAAGGCGGCUCACUGGCUCGGAACUGACGCUGAGAUGCGAAAGCGUGGGGAGCGAACAGGAUUAGAAACCCUAGUAGUCC
rnacentral:rRNA from 1 species